rnacentral:rRNA from 1 species
UACGUAGGGUGCAAGCGUUAAUCGGAAUUACUGGGCGUAAAGCGUGCGCAGGCGGUUUUGUAAGUCAGAUGUGAAAUCCCCGGGCUUAACCUGGGAACUGCGUUUGAAACUACAAGGCUAGAGUGUGACAGAGGGGGGUGGAAUUCCACGUGUAGCAGUGAAAUGCGUAGAGAUGUGGAGGAACACCGAUGGCGAAGGCAGCCCCCUGGGUCAAUACUGACGCUCAUGCACGAAAGCGUGGGGAGCAAACAGG